rfam:Rachicladosporium sp. CCFEE 5018 unplaced genomic scaffold Supercontig_27, whole genome shotgun sequence.
GCAGACUUCAUAGAAUCAUUUCUAUAGUAAACAUCCACAUACUGUGUUCUCUACAUGAGCCACAGACUCCAACCUGGCUGAUGAGCCGAUGCCCCGAGCCCAAGAGUGAUGCCGACGUGCGCGGAGCUUGCUCUGCGUGGCGAUGAUCUCAACCCAGUCGGAUGUCUGGCUUCGGCCGGUCUGGCUGGGAGGGUUCGGCGGUACGUCUGACAGGU